rnacentral:RNase_P_RNA from 1 species
UGAGCAGCGUGGAUGGUCGCGCCUGUAAAUGCCGAAAGGCUGCAGGUGAGGAAAGUCCGAGCUUCACAGGGCAGGAUGCCGGAUAACGUCCGGUGGAGGUGACUCCCAGGCCAGUGCAACAGAAAUAAACCGCCUGUGUAUGCAGGUAAGGGUGGAAAGGCGGGGUAAGAGCCCACCGCUUUUGUGGUAACACAAAAGGCACAUGUAAACCCCAUCCGAAGCAAGACCGAACAGAAAGCUAUACGGCGGCCCGUCGUGCUUUCGGGUAGGUCGCUAGAGCUUAUCGGUAACGGUAAGACCAGAUAGAUGACCAUCUUAGACAGAACUCGGCUUAUAGCGCUGCUCAUUUU